ACACUAUUCUUCGCCAUUGCGUUUUAGCAAGCUAAUUAAGGCAACCGCCAGGAAUGUACGCAGGUAUAGUCAGUCAACCGUAAACAACGGGGUGCAGUCUAGAUGACGUCAUUGAACCGAACGAACUCAGAUUCUUGAGAAGUGAUUAGACACACAUCUUUCAUUGAAAAUGCCACAAUGUAGCUCUCGACGACGUGAUCAUAAGCGCCCCAUCGCCCGCUCCCCACAAUUCAAGUCUGUAUCAUGUACAUUGAAUAUACUCUAAUAAACCAUGCACGUAUGGAUGAGUAGUCUCAGCAUGACAUAUUUUGAAAGGUCGUGAUGUCAUCAUACACCAUCUGGUAGUCCAGCUGUCCAAAAAAAAGUGAUUAAUAUGCCGAUUGAAUGUGUUUAUGCUUGGACUCUGCUUCCUGCAAUUUAAUAACGAGGUAAGACUGCCAGAAGGACGGUUUCAUCAUAAAAUUAUUAUAGCAGCUGAAGUUGGUUUCAGGUAUCAACAUGAUGUCUCAUCUUUCGUGUUCACCUUGGACUCGGUAAGCUUAUAUUGUGCAACGUGAAACAGUUCUACAGGUCCCUGGACUCAUAGUGUUAAGGAGCAAGAACACAUUCUCCCGUGAAUGUGCUGACUGGUAUGUCCGUCGAGCAAGUCAUGGUCCAGCGGAAGUCCGGCAGGAAGUGAAUGUCAAGGUACGCUUUGCUGAGUGUCCUUGCUUCAGAUGACUGUGUGUUAUGGCGGAAACAACAGCUCUUUUCACGAUGCAAGACCUUUACAUCUGUUUUUGUCGCAUUUUCAUGUAUGCCUGGGUCUCUUGAGCCCCAUCAAAAGGAUCGCUAUCUUGAGCUUCACGAUGGAGAUGGAGCAGAAAGGGCAGCAGCUCGUUGCCUGGCAACCACGUGUGGCCAUUUUCAAAGGAGACAGCAGGAGUUCUAGUCCCGCCUGGAAACUGGAACCAGCUGCUCGUCGACUCCUGCAGCCUCUGGCCGCGCAGAUGGAGAUGAUGUAGCAGGCGUACUCCAACAUGCGUACAUGCACGUGCAAGGUGGAGAACUUGGCACGUGCGAGCUGAACCUUCGUGACCUGUCGCACGUGCUGCACAUUAAUCGCUAAAAGUCCCGCUGAUGCACACUAAUUGGUCGAGUCUCUCCAGUGCACACUAAUUGGUUCGGUCUUGCCAAUACACGCUAAUCAGUCCAGUCCCGUUAAUGCACACUGUCAUCGGCUGGCACCUCUACAAGUAUUUAUGUAAAGUUCUUAUGUUGUUGAGGGUGUCCACCCGCUCUGAGGAAUUCUCUGCUUGCGUGCAGUCGGGGUAUAAUGUUUGUGUUUCGCAUUAGUCAACAACUACUUUCACUUUAGCAAGAAAAGUCGAGCUACUGUUGAGCGUGGUGUUAACAAAUGUUUACAUUGUUGAUUCUUUAUUUUUCCGUUGCACAACAACAACCACCGACCACAUCAAACAAAGCCUGUCGUCUCUGGAAAUAUCUAUCAGCUUUCUGACAUCCGUUACUCCAAGAUCACUUCCUUCACCACCAGCAACAUAAGCACCACACAUACUUCCCAUCCCCCAAAGAGUUUCUUCUGAUUUUUCUUGACAUAAACAUUGCCACCAUCUUUCGUCUUGGUGUGUUUAGCCUGUGUAAAAUGCUCCAUCUGCUGCCUAUUUUUUUAAACUCACUUUUGGCAAAUUACCUAUGGUAACAUCUUGCCUGAACAACAGUUAUCUUUUUAAAAAUGUAUCUUAUGGCGAGGGUUCAUUAACUUUUGCACGUCUUUGAUGAAUGGCAGGAGCAGAUGAUGGAGGCACGAAAGGCUUCUUCUCGAGUACCGACAAUGUUUUCUCUGUGUAUGUGUUUAAUCAGUAAUACUUGCUCUUCAUAUAAACACAGAGAUCCAACAACCUUUUCUGUUCUUUGCAUUCUUUUCUGUUUGUGCAACACUUCACGCAGCCGAUGGGCCCGUCUAACUUAAUUAACAAGGUACGAGGGAAUGAGAGAAAAAUGUGAUGUAUAUUCAAGUACUCCUAGACAAGUAUUCUAUAGCAAUACCCUUUUAAUACUUGAAAUGUCAACAAGUAGUUGCUUUACUGAGCACACGUGAAUGAGAUCCACUGACGUGCACACGCCGACAAACACACAGGCUCAAACACAAACCACCACUUCAGCGCUAGCGCGCGCGCACACACACACACAAACACAUAAACGUGCAGCUAUGAUCCAUCCAACUGCAUGCAGUCUGGAACAGACAUACAUUUAUGCAGGACUGGUUGCAGGGUGAGAAAAUGCGCGCACUCACGCACACAGUCCCACAGGCACGCUCACGGUCUUUCCCUCUCCCAGCCUCUGCCAGUCCCUCCAUCCACCCAUCAACACACCGACACUGAGGUCAGAGGUGAUCGUGCACCCUCCACGAGCAGGAAGAUGUGUAGGUAGGCAAGAAGCGGAGGUGCCGCUGUCUGUUGGGAACCGCUUAUGUCUAUAAGCUGCCUGUCUUAUCUGUGAGUGAAAAAACUGCCUGUAUCAUGUUUUCUCGCUAAAAUUAGCUCUUGCAACCCGGGCACUGGCUGUGUAAGAGCAGCGAUCGAGGAAAAAAAAAUAUAAAGAAAAGAAAAGACGAGAAGAAAAGAGGCAAAACAGUUGCCAUGGAAAAGAAACAAGCAAAGAUCACAAGUUACCCCAUUUAAAAUGCACUUUGCACUAACCUUCGCUAGGGUUUGAACGGUUAACGCAGGUAUGCAAUGUCGACCCUCCAUGAAUAAUCAUUAAUUAGCUUCGGUAAUUAGCCACUGUACAGGUCUGACCACGAGUUAAUCGAAUUAACACAGUGGAGUAGUGGAGUGGGUGUGAUCAUACAACGUGUAUGGCAUGUAUGGUUGUUUGUGUGGCUCGGGGCCUGCGCCUAUUGGCAAUUAUGGUGAAACUUUUCUCAUCUAGUGCCAUACACAGUAAUGAGCAGCAUAUAUUUAUAUAAUUCUUAUAUAUUUAUUGUGUGAAUGCGACUGUGUAUAUUUGUGUUUAGUCACGUACCCAUGCUUACUAGGUACCACACAUGCAUCAAUAUAGAAAUAAAAAUACAUAAGAAUUGUCUCUCUCUCUCUCUCUCUCUCUCUCUGUAUUAUAACAUAUUACUAGUUAUUCUGUUUCAAAUGAUUUUCAUUGUGUUCCACCUUGAAGUCAUCAGGUACAGGUCAUGCCGGGUACGACCUGAAUCGGAUUAAAACUCUGUCCUAAAGAACUGAGCUUCACAAAGAAGUGGUCCAUCAAAAGACUCUUUCUUGCUACUCUUUUU
rnacentral:lncRNA from 1 species